GGGGUUGUGGCUCAGUGGUAGAGCACUCGCCUAGCACAUGUGAGGCCCUGGGUUCAAUCCCCAGUACCUCA
rnacentral:tRNA from 1 species